CUAGUCGACUUCUAGACGUUUGAUCCUGGCUCAGGACACGCUGGCGGCGUGCCCAACACAUGCAAGUCGAACGAAGCAUUUAAGUGAAUCCCUUCGGGGUGAAGCUUUUAUGACUUAGUGGCGACGGGUGAGUAACGCGUGAGUAACCUGCCUUUCAGAGGGGGAUAACAGUUGGAAACGACUGCUAAUACCGCAUAACGUACAUUUAAGGCAUCUUAGAUGUACCAAAGCUGAGGCGCUGAAAGAUGGACUCGCGUCUGAUUAGAUAGUUGGUGAGGUAACGGCUCACCAAGUCGACGAUCAGUAGCCGGACUGAGAGGUUGAACGGCCACAUUGGGACUGAGACACGGCCCAG
rnacentral:rRNA from 1 species